rnacentral:misc_RNA from 1 species
GAGAGCCCUAUGUUCUGUUGACUCGACUGAAAUUCCCCAACCCACAAUUGCUCGAGCAGCAUUCAUUUACAUACGAAUUGCAACACCAAGGAUAACCACCAAAACACACAAGAAAGAAGUGUCCUGACAACCGGAAUAGAUUAUGCCAUGCACACACAUUGCCAGAAUCUAGAGACUAAAGGGCAGUAAGAGAAGUUGUAAAACAGAGGUGUGCACCAAAGCUAGAUAUAUUUGAAGCUGAUUCAAGGACCUACAAGAAAUUCAUCCCUGAAAGGGGUUGUCACUAGAUUAUUUAUGUUCACAGGGAGUUAUUUUUCACAAUAUUAAUCCUUCUAGGAAUCACAGUGCAAAUAUAUCAUUAGAACUACAACUCACCUACCCAAAAAAAUCCUUCGAUUUACUUUACAAAAUAGAAGACAAAGGGAACUGCAGAAAUUGAAAUUUCAUGGAGUGGUUGUUUCAGCUUCAUUAUCACUUUCACUGGCAUUUGAUUGGGCAUCAUUGUACAUCUUUUCCGGAUCCAAAAUAUGCCCAGUCAUUGGAUCAACUGGACGUGUGUCACGAGGUCCACCUUUACGCCCCAUUGCUACCAUUGGUAGAGGAGGUAGUAAUCCUGCUCUGAAAAGAAUGCGUUGGACAGGGUCUGAAGGCUGAGCACCGACUGAUAACCAAUACUUCACUCUCUCGAAAUUAAGACCCAUCCGUUUGCCUCCGUCUUGACCUGGAAGGGGAUUGUAGUAACCAAGGACUUCCAGGUGUUUGCCAUCUCUGGGGGAUCUGCUAUCAGCGGCCAUGACCCGAUAAAAUGGUUUGUUUUUGCACCCGAAUCUCGACAAUCGGAUCCUCACCACCAUAUUCUCUGUCGGAUUAAUUUGACAAGGAAACUCAAACAAAGUAGAAGUUAGAAUAGCGAACGAAAAGAGCAGUGCUGGAUUCAAAGUGGAGCGGCCGCUGCAAUCCAAGGGUUUGGGGCUUGUAAGAGGAAAUAGCCAGAUGGAUUGGAGAUUCACUUUAAUUCAAAGUACGAACUUAAUACGACGCCGUUUUAGAAUUAAAUGAUAGUUGACACCGUCUACCGUGAGCCUUAAAAUUGAUAAUCGAUAAUCCACUGAAAUAUUAAGAAUUUUUUUUUAUAUAAUUUGCAUAUAUUUGAAUUAAAGCAUUAAAAUUGAAAAGUAGGAGAUAACAAUAAAAUUAAAUUUUAUAAUAACUAGAGAGAACAUGAAAGUUGGGCACAAGACAAUCUAAGAAGGAAAGGGAUACUGCUUCAUUUCUUCCACCAGUUUCUUAGGAGCGUCACUUUAUGGAACAGGGCUACAAAGAUUUUUACCAGACCUAAAUAAUAAACCUUCCAAGGCACUAUAGCAGCUCCCACACAUAAUUCAUUCUCUCGGAUUAAAUCUUGAUGCCAAGUGUAUCCUAAAUUUUUAAGGAAUAAUAAUAGACAAAUCAGGUUGUAACUCCAAAAUCUCUUAUGUAUAUGAUCAAUACCCAUUACUGUAACCAACAUAAUUGGUUCUAGAGCGAAUAUUGUGGUGGUUGUAAAUGGACUCUCCAUAAUCAACAGGCUUAAUCACCACAGCUUCACGCUUCCCAUCCUGCUCAUGAAUUGCCCCGAACACAAUCUCAUUUGUUUUCUCAUUGCUUUGCUCAUAGUAAGUGUGUGGGGUUGUAGAUUGAUAUCGAUGAUGAUGUUGUUUUUGGUGCUGCUGCUGCUGCUGCUGAAAAUCAUCCCACCCACUAUAGAAAGCUCGACCUUGCUUCCAUUGAUGCUUCUUUUCAGCAUCCUUGGACAUGAAUGGAUAGGUUUUCCUUGGCGUUGGCGUUCUAGUUUCAAUAGAAGGAGGCUCAUCUUCCUCUGUUAUCACAAAGCUGUCCUGCAUUGGCCAAGCAUUUGAAUGCAUCUGCGGCUGGUUUUGAUAUUGAUAGCUUGGUGGCUUCUUUCUAAAACCAGGAACUAUUCCUCCCAAAAUUUCAACAACAGCUGCUCCACCAUUGGCAAAAAGCUUGCCAAGGGAUCCAAAGAAGCCUUCUUCAUGCUUCUCUUGUUCAUCUUCAGUUGGAAUUAAAGGUGGCCUGACUGAUUUAAGAGGUUUCUGAUAUGGACUUGCUGCAGUGCUUGUUUUCAUUGCAUCCCGAUCCUUCACAGCAUAUCAAAAAGAUUAAAAAAACAUUUACCUCAUUACAUAGCAGAUAUUGUCAAAACCUAAAUAUAUGUUUUGCAGUGAAACUUGGGGUAUUUUUAGCUCUUCAGAGUAUAAUUGCAACUUGGCAAUGCAUAGCACAGCUAGAAUGAGCAAAGCAGAACCAAUACUCAAGAAGGUAGCAUGUUUUUUCUUUCAACAUGCGCACGAAAGCAGAACCCGGAGAUCUUAUUUGAAGCUACUUAACCAAUCACCAAACAUGGCCAUGCAAGUUCCGAAAAAGGGAAAACAAAACAAUAUAUGACUUCAAGCAAUUCAACGGAGAAUCAUAAGUGCAGUGAUAGAUGCAGCAUUUAGACUUAGAGGCCAGAUGUCUUUUAGUAUGUUUCACUCAUAAUUUGUCUUUUUAAAAUUACUUCUCUAUCAAUAAAAAACCUUUUCAAUUUUACCAAUGAGCUUUAACUCAGUGCAAGUGGUAUAUUUUAAGCAAUCAUGUAAAUCCUGAUGAGUAUCCUACGACGCUAUGACAAAAAGUUAUUGAGAAAUAACUAGAGAUUUAAAGACCAGCGAAACUUACAUUCUGAGAAGAAAAGAUCAUUCCCACCCUAAGUUGCAGCAAAGCCAGCAUGUAACCAAAGAAGCCAGCUGCUACAAGGACUGCAAUCCCUGCAAUAAUGAAGUGAUUGCCUAAAUCUAUUAUAUGAGCAAAUAAUAGAAUGUUAUAUUAAGGUAUAGAAGUUUGCUUACCAAGGGGAAAGCCACUGCCAUAUUGAUAAGCACAGUCAUCAAAAUGGAGUUGGAUCUCUCUGAUGGCUCGGUUUCCUCUGUCUAUAACAAGCAGAGAGCAACUGCUUCCAAUGUAUACCACAUCAAAAUCAUUAGAAAACUUUGCAUCUUCACUUGCUCCAUCUACAUGGCCUCCUCCACGGCCCCAUUUCCCUCCCGCAAUUGUUGUAACCCCUGCAUCACUUAUCUUCCUGAUUGCCAUAUUCAUGGUGUCUGCAAUGUAAAUAUUUCCUCUGUCAUCUACUGUCAGCCCCUUUGGAUGGUUCAUCCUUGCCUCUCUGGUCUUCCCAUCUACAUGUCCAGAGUAUCCCUCAGGGGAUCCAGCAACGAGCUUAGGUCUGCUGUCUGCAGUAUGUUUUCAUUUUUUUUUGAAAAAAAAUCGUCAACAAAAAAUAUGGGCAACAAAAAACUUCAAACAUAUCACAUAAAGUUUAUAAUUCAUGAACAGAAUAUCAUGAAAUAUCCAACUAACCUUGGUAAACCUUAGAAGCACAAGGUAAACUUAAUGGAAUUCUUAAUUUAACACAUAGGAAGGAAUGAUACAGGUGUGAAUAUGCUUAAACACUCAAUUGCAGUUGUAAGAUAUUAAAACAGCUAAAUUCAAGAGAAGUAGAAUUUUAUUGCCCUAUAUUAAGGUUAUGUUUUCUUUCAGGAAUAUGUAGCAAAUCACAAAAUAGAAAUUAGAAGUAAUAUACCUUUUCUAUUUGUACCAUGCUUAAUAUAUAUCCUGCUUAAUUAUGGAAACAUAUGCCAACCAUUUCACAAACUAUAAGACCUUUUCCUGAGAAAUAAAGUUCAUGUUAGGAUCUCUCAACUGUCUCUGCUGAUCUUGACACAGCAUUUGAAAUACCAUUCCAAUUUUUUUAUUUUCCACCAAAGAGUAGUGGUAUUUUUCUUUACAGGAUUAGUCUUUAGAUCUAAUCUUCCCAAGACCAAUAAUAGAAAAUAACCGAAAAUACAUUUAGUUUACACAUAAAAGCCUGCCACAUAAGACAACAGGCUUCAAAAAGGUAUAAAAAAAUAUAUUUUAUUUUGCAGAUUCAUUCUCUGGAUCCCAUCUCCACAAAAGCAACUAAAGCAAAAGAGAAAUUAUAAUUAUAAAGUUUGCCGCUUGAGAGAAUCAGCUUUGAAUAUUGCAUAACCACCUUAUGCAUCCUUUGCAAUAGAUAUUUUGAACACAAAUUUAAGAUGAAAGGUACCGCAAACCAUUAAAUCAUGAAGCUAUCCUUUUUAAAAAAAUAAUUACUAAUUCAGACAGUUUAGCACACAUAAGCUUAAGCUGUCUGUGGUUUUAUAAAAGCUGAAAUUCUUUGUGGUUUUACAAAAGCUGAAGUUGAUUGGGGUUUCAAUAAUAGCAAUUAAACCCAAUAAUCUUUUGACAAAUGGAAGUUUGGUAGAGGCAAAAGGUUGAGAAAUAACAUACUAGAAAUGAUAGUGCCAAACAAACUAGAAUUAGUUAUUCUAUAAAACAAGGCCAAUCAAUCAAUAUCCCAGGCCAUUACAAAGCCCACUUACACAGAGACAGGGAAGAGGAUAUCCUGUAAAGGUUACUGUUAGCGGAGUCCAAAAUUAGAAGCUCCCCACUGGGCAACACCUCCACAGAGUAAGGCUCAAUCCCAAGCUUGCUUCCAUUGAAUACCGUCUCAACAGUAUAUCCACUCUCAAACUUCAUCAUAGGACAGCCAGAAAUCGCUAUGCAAACAAAUUACACAAACCAUAUCUCACAUAAAUCCACACACAAACAGUGAAUACCACAGGAAAAAAAGGAGAAAAAAAAAGGAUGAAGAAAAAAAAUGUGGGUGUCAGAAUCAGAGAUCUAAACUUGUUUUACUAGUGGCUUUGAGAGACCAUAACCAUUUCAUAAAAGCAGAAGCGACAUUUGAGAAUAACCCACUAACAAUCUUUGCAGGUGAAGUAGUAGAAGGAGCUGAAGAGACACCUCCAAAAAGCAGCAAGAUCAUAAGGAACAAAACCAACAAAUUCUUGCCCAUUACACCCACUGCUUCUAUUCUGAAGAGGAACCCAGAGAAAAGCUAAAAUAUGAAGAUUCAAGCUCUAAGCAUUUGAAGAAACCCUACCUCUUAUCUGGGUUUGAAUAAAAAAGUUGGUUUUGAUAUGAAAUGUUGCUAAAGGGAGAUGCUCAAAAACAGUAUUUUUUUUUUUUAAAGAGCUUUUGGUUUAAACCGGAGAAGAGGAAGGGGGAAUGUAUUUUUUGAGAGCAUAAACUAGAAAGUGAGAAUGGAGGAUAGGAAAGCAGAAAAGGGACAAAGAAAAGAGAGAAAAAAGAAGAGAAAAAGCAAGUGAGGUCACUGGCUCAGUGGGGGCAGUGCUGAGGGGAGAGAGAGAGAGAGAGAGA